CUGGCGGCGUGCUUAACACAUGCAAGUCGAGCGAGAAACUACAUGCAGACACUUCGGUAGAAGCGAGUAGCGGAAAGCGGCGGACGGGUGAGUAACGCGUAGGCAACCUGCCCUUCACAGAGGUAUAGCCUCGGGAAACCGGGAUUAAAACCACAUAAAAUCAUAGGUUCGCAUGAACCAAAGGUCAAAGAUUUAUCGGUGAAGGAUGGGCCUGCGUCUGAUUAGCUGGUUGGUAGGGUAAAAGCCUACCAAGGCGACGAUCAGUAGCCGACCUGAGAGGGUGAUCGGCCACAUUGGAACUGAGACACGGUCCAAACUCCUACGGGAGGCAGCAGUGGGGGAUAUUGCACAAUGGGGGAAACCCUGAUGCAGCAACGCCGCGUGAGGUAUGAAGGCCUUUGGGUUGUAAGCCUCUGUCCUAGGGGAAGAAAAAAAUGACGGUACCCGAGGAGGAAGCCCCGGCUAACUACGUGCCAGCAGCCGCGGU
rnacentral:rRNA from 1 species